rnacentral:rRNA from 1 species
GCACGCCGGACGACGUCCGCGAGAAGUCCACUGAACCUUAUCAUUUAGAGGAAGGAGAAGUCGUAACAAGGUUUCCGUAGGUGAACCUGCGGAAGGAUCAUUGUCGAUGCCCCGAGAACGAAAUGACCCGCGGACCGGUUUGUGAACAUCACCCCACGCGUCGCCGUCGGGGCCGCGCGCCCGGACGGUACAGAACAACCAACCCCCGGCGCCAGUCGCGCCAAGGAAACGGAAAGAACGCGUGCGCCCCCGGGCGCCGCGCCAGUGUUAUGCGAGGCAUACGCAAAACGACUCUCGGCAACGGAUAUCUCGGCUCUCGCAUCGAUGAAGAACGUAGCGAAAUGCGAUACUUGGUGUGAAUUGCAGAAUCCCGCGAACCAUCGAGUCUUUGAACGCAAGUUGCGCCCGAGGCCACCCGGCCGAGGGCACGCCUGCCUGGGCGUCACGCAACGUCGCCCCCGCCCCACGGCGGGCGGGGCGGACGAUGGCCUCCCGAGAGCACCGGUCUCCCGGCUGGCCGAAACACGGGCGUCCGAGGGCAGUCGCCACGGUCCACGGUGGGAGGAGCGGAGCUCGCCCGAGACCGGCCGUGCGCGGGCUGCCGCCGAGCGACGCCCCGCGACCCACGCGCGCUCCCGACGCGACCCCAGGUCAGGCGGGGACACCCGCUGAGUUUAAGCAUAUCAAUAAGCGGAGGAA